rnacentral:rRNA from 1 species
GACGAACCGUGCGAACGUUGUUCGGAAUCACUGGGCUUAAAGGGCGCGUAGGCGGCGGGGUACGUCCGGGGUGAAAGCGUUCGGCUUAACCGGACAAGGGCCUGGGAUACGGCCCCGCUGGAGGGGGGUAGGGGGCAGCGGAACUUCCGGUGGAGCGGUGAAAUGCGUUGAUAUCGGAAGGAACGCCGGUGGCGAAAGCGGCUGCCUGGACCCUUACUGACGCUGAGGCGCGAAAGCCAGGGGAG